rfam:Rattus norvegicus chromosome 1, whole genome shotgun sequence.
GGGGAUUUAGCUCAGUGGUAGAGCACUUGCCUAGCAAGCGUGAGGCCCUGGGUUCGGUCCCCAGCUCCG